ACGCUCGACACCUACGGAGGCAGCAGUUGGGAAUAUUGGACAAUGGAGGAAACUCUGAUCCAGUGACGCCGCGUGAAGGAAGAAGGUCUUCGGAUUGUAAACUUAUUUUGUCAGGGAAGAAAAAUGACUGUACCUGAAGAAAAAGCACCGGCUAACUACGCGCCAGCAGCCGCGGUAAUCUGAGCGGGCUGGCAAGGC
rnacentral:rRNA from 1 species